rnacentral:lncRNA from 1 species
ACUAGAACAGCUCCACACCAACCUUCAACCAAGAGACAGAGCAAGACAUAAAACACAGAAGCACCAAAACUUAAAACCGUGCACAAACACACGGCCACUCCUGCUCCUUCACACAAAAUCCAAGCCUUUGAAGAUCCGACCUGAAAGAAGGAAGCUCCAGAAUAAACCCUUCCCUAUAAGGACUUUUGCACCACAAGCAAACUCAUCGAACCGAAGGAAACAACCAUAAUUGAACAUCCCAAUGAACGCCUUCACCCGUUGCUGCAAGUAGAGUUUAGAACCAUUUAUAAAUACUAUCCAGCAACACGAAGAAAGGAUUACUGCAUAGGAGCUCAAAGAAGAAAGCCAAGCGGGGAGGUAACGGAUAUUGGAGCGACGAGACACAAAAAGCCUCUCAGAGACGAGCCCAACCACCAUUCAUGUAUUGCAGGCAGGAAAGGAACUAGAGUUGAAGAAAGCACAGUAACACCGUCAGCGAAAGCACAGUAACACCGUCAGCGAAAGCACCUGCACCGCUCCCAGCGGCUGCACUGCACCGUCAAAAGAUCCUCGAUCUCCAAUCUGGCGCCAGACGUAUCACUGAACCCAACCCUCCGAAUAAAACCUUAAACAAUAAAUUUACCAAGAACUAGAACAGCUCCAUACCAACCUUCAACCAAGAGACAGAGCAAGACAUAAAACACAGAAGCACCAAAACUUAAAACCGUGCACAAACACACGGCCACUCCUGCUCCUUCACACAAAAUCCAAGCCUUUGAAGAUCCGCCUGCCAACUUGUAGUCCUCCGCCGGAAGGGAGAUGACGGAAGAAGGAGCCGCGAAACAACAACACGAAUCACACAGAUCUAUCCUCGAUCUCA